GCUGGGCGUGGUGGCACACGCCUGUAAUCCCAGCUACUCAGGAAGCUGAGGCAGGAGAAUCGCUUGAACCCGGGAGGCGGAGGUUGCAGUGAGCCGAGAUCGCACCACUGCACUCCAGCCUGGGUGACAGAGCGAGACUCUGUCUCAG
ensembl:misc_RNA Metazoa_SRP Metazoan signal recognition particle RNA